UCUAAGGAUGAGUGAAAGUAAAAUUUCACUCUAAAUAAUAUACAUCGGUAAUGUUGACCGUCCUCAUUUCUCUUCUUAAAGUAAUGUUUCCUUCUUGUAGGGCCGGUAGCUCAGUUGGUUAGAGCACACCCUUGAUAAGGGUGGGGUCGAAAGUUCGAGUCUUUCUCGGCCCACCAUACUUAACUGGGGGAUUAGCUCAGCUGGGAGAGCGCCUGAUUUGCAUUCAGGAGGUCAGCGGUUCGAUCCCGCUAUCCUCCACCAGGAAACAUUUAGUUAUUAAAACUGUAAAUAAAAAUAAUUUAUAUCAAUAUCUAUAUCCGAACAUUAAAAGUUAUUAUUUAAUGUUCAAAAUAAAAAUUUGAUCACAACAUAGAUAAAUUUUCUGUUAAAAGAAUUUUUUUCUGUGCAUA
rnacentral:tRNA from 1 species